rnacentral:rRNA from 1 species
GACGAACGCUGGCGGCGUGCUUAACACAUGCAAGUCGAGCGAGAAACCCUCUUCGGAGGGGAGUACAGCGGCGAACGGGUGAGUAACACGUGGGCAACCUGCCCCAAGGAGCGGGACAACCCGGGGAAACCCGGGCUAAUACCGCAUGUUCCGCAGCGCCUGAAGGUGCUUCGGGAAAUGGUAGCUUCGGCCUCCGCCUUGGGAUGGGCCCGCGGCGCAUUAGCUUGUUGGUGAGGUAAUGGCUCACCAAGGCGACGAUGCGUAGCUGGUCUGAGAGGACGAUCAGCCACACUGGGACUGAGACACGGCCCAGACUCCUACGGGAGGCAGCAGUGGGGAAUCUUGCGCAAUGGGCGGAAGCCCGACGCAGCAACGCCGCGUGAGGGAAGACGGCCU